rnacentral:misc_RNA from 1 species
UACGCCACGGNANUACUUCGGUAAUCGGAUGGNAUGNNGAGCUCUUCGCCGUCCCACGUUUCUCUUUCUUUCAUAAAGAGAUCAAGAACCGCGUCGACCCUAGAGGGAUCUGGGCCGNUUUCGAGCGAGNACUGGGCCCGUAGCUCAGUUGGUUAGAGCACACGCNUGAUAANGCGUGGG